rnacentral:rRNA from 1 species
UGAGUAACAUGACCUUCGGCGGGGGAUAGCCGGCCCAACGGCCGGGUAAUACCGCGUACGACCACAUGGGGACAUCCCUGAGUGGUGAAAGCAGCAAUGCGCCGAUGGAGUGCCUCGCGGCCUAUCAGCUAGUUGGUGAGGUAACGGCUCACAAGGCAACGACGGGUAGCUGGUCCGAGAGGAUGACCAGCCACAGUUGGGACUGAGACACGGCCCAGACUCCGUAGGGA